UACGGAGGGGGCUAGCGUUGUUCGGAAUUACUGGGCGUAAAGCGCACGUAGGCGGCUUUGUAAGUUAGAGGUGAAAGCCCGGAGCUCAACUCCGGAAUUGCCUUUAAGACUGCAUCGCUCGAAUCAUGGAGAGGUGAGUGGAAUUCCGAGUGUAGAGGUGAAAUUCGUAGAUAUUCGGAAGAACACCAGUGGCGAAGGCGACUCACUGGACAUGUAUUGACGCUGAGGCACGAAAGCGUGGGGAUCGAACAGG
rnacentral:rRNA from 1 species